UCCUGGUUAACCCAGGCAGUCUCACUAGAGUUCCCACCAUAACGUGUUGGCAACUAGUGAUAAGGGUUGCGCUCGUUGCGGGACUUAACCCAACACCUCACGGCACGAGCUGACGACAGCCAUGCAGCACCUGUGCAAAGGCCCCGAAGGGAGACUGCAUUUCUGCAGCUGUCCUUUGCAUGUCAAGCCUGGGUAAGGUUCUUCGCGUUGCAUCGAAUUAAACCACAUGCUCCACUGCUUGUGCGGGUCCCCGUCAAUUCUUUUGAGUUUCAGCCUUGCGACUGUACUCCCCAGGCGGUAUACUUAACGCGUUAGCUUCGGCACAGCCAGGGUUGAGUCCGGCUACACCAAGUAUACAUCGUUUACAGCAAGGACUAC
rnacentral:misc_RNA from 1 species